rnacentral:lncRNA from 1 species
GGAAUCUCUCUAUUGCUCUAGUUGUCAUGUCAAAAAACUACUUAGACAGACUAUGAAGAGAUACAUAGGGUGAGAAACGGAGGCCUUCAGCCAACAGCUGGGAGAAGCUGAGUCCCAUCAGCCAUUCAAAAGACUGCAGCCCCAGCCAAGAGUUUGAUGUAACCUCAGGAGAGACCCUGAGCCAGAACCACCUAGAAAAGCUGGGAUACAUGAAGACUGCCAUCCCUUGAGUCACUUGCCCUGUAGCUGCCACUGUUGGAAAAGGGCUUGCUUCUGUGUCCUUGUGCCCACUUUGAAAAUCCCUGGGAAGUCCUUGGAGUCAGAUGAGCAGGCCUCCGCCACUCUGCCAAAAAGUCUGUUCAGAAGUUUCACAUCACUAGAGAAGAGAGAAGAAGGACAUUUGUACUGGGAGGAGUCGACCGGUCCCAGUAAGGAGAAAGUAGCUACAGCGUCAUGGGUGAGCUGGGUCCCCCAAAAAGGAACUUUAAGGGAAUGGACUGAAUCAAGUCUGAGAUGUCCCCAAAGCAAGACCAAAGAACUGAGGAAGAGAAGCAUUCAUCAGAAACCAAAAUUCAGCUACAAGUGAGCAUCCAGAUGGAGGUAUUAUGAAGAGGAACUGAGACUGAGGGCAAAAGGUGCCAGCCAGAAUCCUGGAUAGGAGAGCAAGAACCAGGACCUCAUUUAAGAGACAACCUGCUUAAGGCAGAGUAAGCACAAAUGGGCACUCAACAUCAAUGAAGUAACAGCAAAGUCACAUAAUAAAAGCAUGGAAUUAAGACAAGCUGAAGAUUCGGAUGCAAUAAAACAACCACCCAUUAUUA